rnacentral:lncRNA from 1 species
CCCUGGGUGUUGAAACAGUAAAGGAUUGCGAUGUACUCAUAUUGGUGACAAAUGUUUGAAGUUUACAUGUGGACAACUGCAGUUCUCCUCUGCACACAUGUAGACAAGGAACUGAACGGAAUAAAAUGAAUUAAAACUUAAUACAACCAAAUGUAGCUGCAUUCGUUCCUUCCCAUUUACUUCUUUAGAAUGAUUUGUAAACAAC